rnacentral:tRNA from 1 species
AGAAUAGUAGUUAAAAUUAUAAUAUUUAUUUUGCAAAUAAAAGUUAUUAUAUAAAAUUUAUUUUA